UACGGGGGGGGCAAGCGUUGUUCGGAAUUACUGGGCGUAAAGGGCGCGUAGGCGGCCUGGGAAGUCCUGGGUGAAAGCUCAAGGCUCAACCUUGAGAGGACCUGGGAAACCACUGGGCUGGAGUGCCGGAGAGGGAAGCGGAAUUCCCGGUGGAGCGGUGAAAUGCGUAGAGAUCGGGAGGAACAUCGGAGGCGAAGGCGGCUUCCUGGACGGACACUGACGCUGAGGCGCGAAAGCCAGGGGAGCAAACGGGAUUAGAAACCCCCGUAGUCC
rnacentral:rRNA from 1 species